CCCGUCAAUCUGGCCCCCCCAGGGGAGUUUUUCCUCGUCUUCAUAGAGAGCUUGGGCUGGGUCAGGAGCUCCAUCAAAACUGUCUUUAGUUGAUUAUUUUAAGAUUGUAAGACCAGAAUGACAAAAAGAAAGGCCAGUCCUGAAAAGAAGACCCCCAUAAAAAGAAGGAGGGUCAGUGAGCAGGCUGGUCCUUCCACCAGCUCAGAUGCUCAUGUGAUCAAAGGAGUCAAGCGCAAGGUCCAACAAGAUGAAGCGGGGACAACCAAUACAGCAAAAAAGUGUAAACUUCUUGACCAUAUGAGCGGUGACAAGGGGCAAGCAUCUUCCUGGUUGGACACUGGUAAAGACUGCAGCAUAGACAUUUCAGAGAGCUGCAGUAAAAACCAAAACGCUGGCAAAAGGAAAGCUGCGGGAGACAGGAGGGACCCACCUAAGAAGAAGAACGUGGACCAGGACAAAACCAAAAAUGUUGCCAAAAAGUCAGUGGCCGAACAGAAACG
ensembl:lncRNA